rnacentral:misc_RNA from 1 species
AACGCACCUUGCGCUCCUUGGUAUUCCGAGGAGCAUGCCUGUUUGAGUGUCACUAAAUUCUCAACCACUCCAGCUCUUGUGGCUGGCUGUGGCUUGGAUGUUGGGGGUUUCUGCAGGCCUCUCUGUAGAGGUCGGCUCCCCUGAAAUGUAUUAGCAGAACCGUUUGCAGUCUGUCACCGGUGUGAUAAUCAAUCAUAUACACCAAAGACCAAAGGCUGCUCUCUGUCCGUUCAGCUUCUAAUCGUCUUGCAUAGACAAACUUCUGGAUGCUUGACCUCAAAUCAGGUAGGACUACCCGCUGAACUUAA